CUUUCCUUCCUCAUCGCUCGCAGCACAGUGCACACCGCAACGAGCGACACGGUAGACAUGGCGACCCGAGCCAGAGCAACGAUCCUUCUCCUCCUCGCGGCUGUCCUCUUCGCCGCGGCGGCGGCGGCCUCAGGUGAGGAUCGCCGCCGCGAGACAUCACUGCGGCGCUGCCUGCAGCGGUGCGAGCAGGACCGGCCGCCGUACGAGCGGGCCCGGUGCGUGCAGGAGUGCAAAGACCAGCAACAGCAGCAGCAGGAACGGCGACGAGAGCACGGCGGGCACGACGACGACCGCCGCGACCGCGACCGGCGCGGCGAGGGGUCGUCGGAGGAGGAGGACGAGGGCCGCGAGCGCGGAAGCCGGCGGCGGCCGUACGUGUUCGGCCGGCGCAGCUUCCGGCAAGUCGUCCGCAGCGACCAGGGCUCCGUCAGGCUCCUCCCGCCGUUCCACCAGGCGUCCAGCCUCCUGCGCGGCAUCAAGAACUACCGCGUCGCGGUGCUCGAGGCGAACCCGCGCUCCUUCGUCAUGCCGACCCACACGGACGCGCACUGCAUCUGCUACGUCGCCCAAGGCGAGGGAGUGGUGGCGAUCAUCGAGAACGGCGAGAAGUGGUCGUACGCCAUCCGGCAAGGCGACGUCUUCGUGGCGCCGGCGGGGACGAUCAAUUACUUGGCCAACACCGACGGCCGGAGGAAGCUGAUCGUUACCAAGAUUCUCCAUACCAUCUCCGUCCCUGGCCAGAUCCAGUUCUUCUUCGCCCCAGGCGGGAGGAACCCGGAGUCAUUCUUGUCGAGCUUCAGCAAGGGCGUGCAGAGAGCUGCUUUCAAGAUUUCGGAGGAGAAGCUGGAGAAGCUGCUGGGGAAGCAGGACAAGGGGGUGAUCAUCCGCGCGUCGGAGGAGCAGGUGCGGGAGCUGCGGCGCCACGCGUCGGAGGGCGGCCACGGCCCGCACUGGCCGCUGCCGCCGUUCGGCGAGUCGUCGCGCGGCCCCUUCAACAUCCUGGAGCAGAGGCCCAGGUUCGCCAACCGCCACGGCCGCCUCUACGAGGCCGACGCCCGCAGCUUCCACGACCUCGCCGAGCACGACAUCCGCGUCGCCGUCGUCAACAUCACCGCGGGAUCCAUGAACGCGCCGUUCUACAACACCCGGUCGGUCAAGGUCGCCUACGUCCUGGACGGCGAGGGGGAGGCCGAGAUCGUGUGCCCGCACCUGUCGCGCGGCGGCCGCGGCGGCGAGAGCGAGGAGCGCCGGCGCGAGCGCGGCAAGGGCAAGUGGCGUGAGGAGGAAGAGGAGGAGGAGGAGCAGCAGAAGGGGCAGGAGGAGGAAGAGGAAGAACAAGUCGGCCAGGGGUACGAGACGAUCCGUGCGCGGCUGUCGCGCGGCACGGUGUUCGUCGUCCCCUCCGGCCACCCGAUCGUGGUGACGUCGUCCCGCGACAGCACCCUCCAGAUCGUCUGCUUCGACGUCCACGCCAACAACAACGAGAGGAUGUACCUCGCCGGGAUGAACAGCGUGCUGAAGAAGCUGGACCCGCAGGCCAAGGAGCUGGCGUUCGCGGCGAGCGCGAGGGAGGUGGACGAGCUGCUCAACGCGCAGCAGGAGUCCGCGUUCCUCGCCGGCCCGGAGAAGAGCGGCCGCCGCGGCGAGGAAUCGGAGGACGAAGACCGCCGCCGCCGCCGCAGCCACCGUGGGCGCGGCGACGAGGCGGUGGAGACGCUCCUGAGGAUGGCAGCCGCUGCGGUGUGACGCGCUCCGCGGCGACGAGCGGCGUGGCGAGUGCGUGAGCGGUGAGCCAUCCAAGCUGCCGGGCGAGCGAGAUGCGGGAGUUUGGCCUCGACGCGUGUGUUGUAGCUUUUGUAAUUAGGCGGGAACGAGUGAAAUAAGUGGGUGGCUCCCUCUGUGCGACUAUCUCCAUAUAAGUAAAUACUGCUACAUAAGUAAGAGUUUGCAAAUGUCGUUUUUAAAUUUC